rnacentral:rRNA from 1 species
GACGAACGCUGGCGGCGCGCCUAACACAUGCAAGUCGAACGAGCGAGAGAGAGCUUGCUUUCUCAAGCGAGUGGCGAACGGGUGAGUAACGCGUGAGGAACCUGCCUCAAAGAGGGAGACAACAGUUGGAAACGACUGCUAAUACCGCAUAAGCCCACGACCCGGCAUCGGGUAGAGGGAAAAGGAGCAAUCCGCUUUGAGAUGGCCUCGCGUCCGAUUAGCUAGUUGGUGAGGUAACGGCCCACCAAGGCGACGAUCGGUAGCCGGACUGAGAGGUUGAACGGCCACAUUGGGACUGAGACACGGCCCAGACUCCUACGGGAGGCAGCAGUGGGGAAUAUUGCACAAUGGGGGAAACCCUGAUGCAGCGACGCCGCGUGGAGGAAGAAGGUCUUCGGAUUGUAAACUCCUGUUGUUGAGGAAGAUAAUGACGGUACUCAACAAGGAAGUGACGGCUAACUACGUG